GGCGGGGUGGGGCGAUGCUUACGUGGGCUUCAUUUCAUUCAUAUUCACCGUGGAGAAGGCACCACGUAAAAAACAGUUCAAGGAUAAUAGCAUAUCUCAUCUUUUGCCUGCGUGGGUGUUGCCCCACCUGUGCCUGGCGGGUGGCCCCUGGGGCAUUUCCGCCACCGUUUUCGUUUUUCAUUCAUCUCAUUUCAUGGUUGUCGUGUGCAUUGCUCUCGGCUAGGGGGCCCUGUAGGCGGUAUUCCGCCAUUGAUUUGGACAAUUGAUUCACCGACACACAUGCCCAUGCGAUAAGAACCAUACGCGUCAUCAGGUAACACCGGCCGUUGAUUCCAAGUGAUAAUUUUUGUACCUUGAAACAGUGCUCGGCCCGGCCUUGCCAGACAAUUUGUAAACUUUAGAAACGUUAACAUUUUCCUGCUCGCCGCCACUUCGGUCCGGGACCCUUUUAACGACUUCAGCCAUCUCCGUUCCUCGCCGCCCGCGUUGACGUCGCCUCCGUCCUAGGACGUUAAAUUAGUCACAAUUCUGGAAACUGGGUCACGUUGGAGGGUUUUCUCUGUCUUUUACCACCAACGGGGCCCGCCCCGGGGUCUCAUCGGAGGGCUUUUUCGGGAACUUCACCGCGCAGGGAUCCUCCCUUGGAUUCGGGUCUGACGCACCCGCGCACCCGAGUUGGUCGGGGGUAGUUCGCUAGUGAACCCCGGCCCCUUCCUCCCUUUUCUAAAAAAAAAUUUUCUAGUAAAGUAGUUUAUUUAUGUUCAAGUGUUUAUAGUUAGGUUUUUUAGCAUUUUUUUACCAUUUUUAUACCAUUUUCUGUUCUUUUAUCUUUUAAUUUACCAUUUUCUUCUAACUCUUAACCUUCUCCGAUUUUCUUUUCUGUUUAUUUUUCAACUCUGUUUUGUAUACUACUAAUAUUUCAUACUUAUGCUCUUUCUGUACAUUCUCUUGAUUUAAUUACUCUUCAAUAUCCACAAUUUCUAAAAAGUGCCUAUCCAAUUGUUUGUAAAUUUCAAAAACAAAGUGUAAAAAGACCUUACGGGUCUGAUCAUCUUAUUGUAUCAUAUUUAACAUGUAUGUUACUGAAUAAAAAAAAAAAAAAAAAUAAUCCUGAAGAUUGUAUAUUUAUUUCUCUGCUGGUCUAUCUGGGCAAAAUGUACACCAAGGUGCUGGAUACGACCACGAAGAGAUACGGAUGUGGUCCGACCAAGUGGUUCAAUUACAGUUCAUAUGGUACGCUUAAGAUCAUGUUCAUCAUCCUGAAGAUUGUAUAUUUAUUUCCCUGCUGGUCUAUCUGGGCAAAAUGUGCACCAAACGUGCUGGAUAUGCCCCACGAAGAGAUACGGAUGUGGUCCGACCAAGUGGUUUAAUUACAGUUCAUAUGGUGCGUGAUGACUUUGGUGACUCGUCGAAAGACUUUUCUUUUCCUCCCUGGAAUCUUUUUAACAAUUUAUUUGCGCGAAUGAUUUUAAUUUCUUAUCUUUUUCAAAAUUCUUAAAAUUUUCAAUCAAUAAAUUGUAAAACGCCA